rnacentral:rRNA from 1 species
GACGUAGGGCGCGAGCGUUGUCCGGAUUUAUUGGGCGUAAAGAGCUCGUAGGCGGCUCGUUGCGUCGGCUGUGAAAACCCGCAGCUCAACUGUGGGCUUGCAGCCGAUACGGGCAGGCUAGAGUUCGGUAGGGGUGACUGGAAUUCCUGGUGUAGCGGUGAAAUGCGUAGAUAUCUGAAGGAACAUCAGUGGCGAAAGCGACUUCCUGGACCAAUACUGACGCUCAGGUGCGAAAGCGUGGGGAGCAAACAGG